AGAGCCAUACAGAGAAGGAGUAGCGAUCCACUCUGGCCCUGAGUCAUGCGUUGUUGUUCGUAAGGACCGCGGUGAAGCGUUGACAGGGGUACGUCCAGGCUGGGUAUUGAGCCGCGAAAUUGCUGAUAUGCUCCGAGGGGCCGACGCUUUAGCAGGAAGCGGAAGGCAACAACUGGCGCGUCGAUAUCGCGAGACGCGUGGGAACCUCGCGCGGUCUGAGACCC
rfam:Marine metagenome HOTS_Contig49269, whole genome shotgun sequence.